ACAAAAGUCCUUGAGUGCUGGCUUUCUGCGAACUAUAUAUAUAUAUAUAUAUAUAUAUAUAUAUAUAUAUAUAUAUAUAUAUAUAUAUAUAUAUAUAUAUAGUUCGCAGAAAGCCAGCACUCAAAGACUAUAAA